rnacentral:rRNA from 1 species
CACGUAGGGUGCGAGCGUUGUCCGGAAUUAUUGGGCGUAAAAGAGCUCGUAGGCGGUCCGUCACGUCGGAUGUGAAAUUCCAGGGCUCAACCCUGGACCUGCAUUCGAUACGGGCGGACUAGAGUUCGGUAGGGGGAGACUGGAAUUCCUGGUGUAGCGGUGAAAAUGCGCAGAUAUCAGGAGGAACACCGGUGGCGAAAGGGCGGGGUCUCUGGGGCCGAUACUGACGUGAGGGAGCGAAAA